rnacentral:rRNA from 1 species
UACGUAGGGUGCGAGCGUUAAUCGGAAUUACUGGGCGUAAAGCGUGCGCAGGCGGCGCCGCAAGUCGAACGUGAAAUCCCCGGGCUCAACCCGGGAACUGCGUCCGAUACUGGAAGGCUUGAAUCCGGGAGAGGGAUGCGGAAUUCCAGGUGUAGCGGUGAAAUGCGUAGAUAUCUGGAGGAACACCGGUGGCGAAGGCGGCAUCCUGGACCGGCAUUGACGCUGAGGCGCGAAAGCCAGGGGAGCAAACGGG